AUGGCUUAUAUGUUCUACUGUCCCUCCUGCUUUCUGUCUCCCCAGCCCCUCUCUUCCUUCAAGGCUGAAGACUUCCAUAGUCAGUUGAGACUCUGCUUCCCACAUUAUAAUGAAGACCAACUACCUAGAAUGAACCUUUUCCAGGAGAGACUGUUACCCCGUGGACGAGGAGAUGCUCUCGUUGUACUUCUGUUGGACAGCACUAACUUAAAAGCUUGGAGCAGAGGCCCCAUGUUGCAGAAACCCAGAUCUCCAGGGAGGUGA
rnacentral:lncRNA from 1 species